UGCACCAACCACAGUCCAUGUCAGCCCAUUC
rnacentral:piRNA from 1 species